GGGAGAAACUGGGUCUAAUACUGGAUAGGACCAUCCUUUAUGUGUGAUGGUGGAAAGUUUUUUCGGUUGGGGAUGAGCUCGCGGCCUAUCACUUGUUGGUGGGGUAAUGGCCUACCAAGGCGUCAACGGGUAGCCGGCCUGAAAGGGUGUACGGCCACAUUGGGACUGAAACACGGCCCAAACUCCUACGGGAGGCAGCAGUGGGGAAUAUUGCACAAUGGGCGGAAGCCUGAUGCACCGACCCCCCGUGAGGGAUGACGGCCUUCGGGUUGUAAACCUCUUUCGACAGGGACAAAGCUUUUGUGACGGUACCUGUAUAAAAAGCACCGGCUAACUACGUGCCACCACCCGCGGUAAUACGUAGGGUGCGAGCGUUGUCCGGAAUUACUGGGCGUAAAGAGCUCGUAGGUGGUUUGUCGCGUCGUCUGUGAAAUUCCGGGGCUUAACUCCGGGCGUGCAGGCGAUACGGGCAUAACUUGAGUGCUGUAGGGGAGACUGGAAUUCCUGGUGUAGCGGUGAAAUGCGCAAAUAUCAGGAGGAACACCGAUGGCGAAGGCAGGUCUCUGGGCAGUAACUGACGCUGAGGAGCGAAAGCAUGGGGAGCGAACAGGAUUAGAUACCCUGGUAGUCCAUGCCGUAACGGUGGGCGCUAGGUGUAGGGGACUUCCACGUCUUCUGUGCCGUAGCUAACGCAUUAAGGCGCCCCCGCCUGGGGAGUACGGCCGCAAGGCUAAAACUCAAAGGAAUUGACGGGGGCCCGCACAGCCGGCGGGAGCAUGGUGAUUAUUCGAUGCACGCGAGACCUUACCUGGGCUUGACAUAUACAGGAUCGCUGCAGAGAUGUAGUUUCCCUUGUGUCUGUAUACAGGUGGUGCAUGAUGUCGUCAGCUCGUGUCGUGAGAUGUGGGUUAGUUCCCGCAACGAGCGCAACCUUGCUUUAGUUGCAGCCACUAUGGUGGGACUCAUGAGGACUGCGGGCUAACUCGAGAGUGGGAUGACG
rnacentral:rRNA from 1 species